rnacentral:rRNA from 1 species
CAGUAGCCGCGGGAAUACGAAGGGGGCUAGCGUUGUUCGGAUUUACUGGGCGUAAAGGGCGCGUAGGCGGGCGAAUAAGUCAGGGGUGAAAUCCCAAGGCUCAACCUUGGAACUGCCUUUGAUACUGUUUGUCUUGAGUUCGAGAGAGGUAAGUGGAACUGCGAGUGUAGAGGUGAAAUUCGCAGAUAUUCGCAAGAACACCAGUGGCGAAGGCGGCUUACUGGCUCGAAACUGACGCUGAGGCGCGAAAGCGUGGGGAGCAAACAGGAUUAGAUACCCCCGUAGUCCCUGUCUCUUAUAC